rnacentral:rRNA from 1 species
AGUGAACGCUGGCGGUAGGCCUAACACAUGCAAGUCGAACGGCAGCACAGUAAGAGCUUGCUCUUACGGGUGGCGAGUGGCGGACGGGUGAGGAAUACAUCGGAAUCUACUUUUUCGUGGGGGAUAACGUAGGGAAACUUACGCUAAUACCGCAUAUGACCUACGGGUGAAAGCAGGGGAUCUUCGGACCUUGCGCGAUUGAAUGAGCCGAUGUCGGAUUAGUUAGUUGGCGGGGUAAAGGCCCACCAAGUCGACGAUCCGUAGCUGGUCGGAGAGGAGGAUCAGCCACACGGGAACUGAGACACGGUCCAGGCUCCUACGAGAGGCAGCAGUGGGGAAUAUUGGACAGUGGGCGCAAGCCUGAUCCAGCCAUACCGCGUGGGUGAAGAAGGCCUUCGGUUUGUAAAGCCCUUUUGUUGGGAAAGAAAAGCAGCAGGUUAAUACCCCGCUGUUCUGACGGUACCCAAAGAAUAAGCACCGGCUAACUACGUG